rnacentral:lncRNA from 1 species
AGGCCAUUGUUUUUCAGGAAGGACCAGGGUCGCAUCCAGACCAACAACCGUACAUCAUGGUAUGGGAGGACUUGGCACGCUACCCACCCCCGUGGGUUCGCCCAUUCCUCCCGCCUCUCCGCCCUGGCACCAAGAUUCUAGCCAUCCGAGAAAAUGGUGCCGCAUCAGUUUGAAGUAGGAGACGCAGUCCUGGUGAGGAGACACCGAGCGGGAAACCUAGAACCGAGGUGGAAGGGACCCUACUUAGUGCUACUGACAACGCCCACCGCGGUCAAAGUGGAAGGAAUCCCCACUUGGGUCCACGCAUCCCACGUUAAGAGAGCACCCCCUGGAGUCAGCCAUGAUGAGUGGACUUUGGAGAAGACUACUAAUCCUUUUAAGUUGCGCCUGCUUCGUAGGAGCGAUCCCAAAAGACUUCAACCCCCACAGUCCUGUUCAACAAACGUGGGAGGUACUCAAUGAGGGGGGUAGGGCUGUAUGGACAAUCGCCGAGGUACACCCUCUGUGGACUUGGUGGCCUGAUCUUUUCCCUGACAUCUGUAAGUUGGCUAUAGGAGCCCCUCCUGGAUGGGACUUGGAGGGGUACUCUGACAUUCAGAGGGCACCUUUAACA